rfam:Sarcophilus harrisii ctg7180002245682, whole genome shotgun sequence.
UAGAGACAGCAGAUUUACAUUCCAGAUGCUGUGGCUAAAAGCAGCUACCUUUGCACAGUCUAGUCAUUUUUUUCCUUUUCCUUUCCCAAGUGAGAUUUGAGAAUUAAAACUGUAA